rnacentral:rRNA from 1 species
AUUGAACGCUGGCGGCAGGCCUAACACAUGCAAGUCGAGCGAGCGGCGGACGGGUGAGUAAUGUCUGGGAAACUGCCUGAUGGAGGGGGAUAACGACUGGAAACGGUAGCUAAUACCGCAUACCAUCAGAUGUGCCCAGAUGGGAUUAGCGAGUAGGUUGGGUAACUGCUCACCUAGGCGACGAUCCCUCGCUGGUCUGAGAGGUUGACCAGCCACCGGGGAACUGGGAAACGGGCCAGACGCGAACGGGAGGAAGCAGUGGGGAAUAUUGCACAGUGGGCGCAAGCCUGUUGCAGCCAUGCCGGGUGUGUGACGAAGGCCUUCGGGUUGUAAAGCACUUUCAGCGGGGAGGCGUUACCCGCAGAAGAAGCACCGGCGAACUCCGUGCCAGCAGCCGCGGUAAUAC